rnacentral:lncRNA from 1 species
GCUCCACCUCGCCCUGUCCCACCUCCCGUGCUCUGUCCUCUUUCCUCCACUGCAUGCACUGCCAGAUGCAUCUGCUGUUUACUCUCCAGUCUGUCAUCUGCCAAAAUGUGGGGUGGAGGUGUCGAACAGAAGUGGGAAGAGGGCGGGGUGUGGUGAGGUGCACAGGACUCCCCAAAUGGCCCACCCCGGAUCUAGUCAGCUCUCUGACAUGUGUUCUCUGGAGGUGCCAAGGGGCGCUCAUGGCUCAGAUGUUCGAGGAAUGGUCUGCACACCAAGGUGGUCCCCAGCCCCUGCCCUCAGGUGCCCAGGCUCAUCUAAUCCCUGCCCUGCACCCCCUGCGGAAGGGUCUGUGCCCCAGACCAGUCUUCCCUGCAGUGACGCCUGGGACCCCACAAAGCAGGGGGCUUUGUGCCUACCACUAUCCAGCAGGGUCUAUCCAUCCAAGUGCUCCAAGUGCCUGCCAGCAAGGCUUCUGGAAAGAGGGAAGAGAAAAAUAGAGGAGAGGAGAUGAUGAGAGCAAUAACCAGAAUUGGAGUCCAUCAUUCACUGAGACUGAAAUGGCUUACCAAGUGCCGAGAAAAUGAAUGUGGGGACUGAACAGAUGACUGAAAAGUUGACCCUUGAAGCAUCUGAACAGAAAAAACAAUACAAAAAGGGCAUGCUUCUCCAUGGCAAUGCCGUAUGUUAGAAACCAACGGAGCAAGGUCUUCAAAAGGCAGAGGGAAAAUGACCAAUGCGAUCUCAUACCCAGCCAAACUAUCAAUCAAGUGUGGGCAGUAGCGACGUCUUUAGACAUACAAAGACUUAGGAAAUUCACCUUCUGUGAAUCUUAUUUUAGGAAGAUCCUGGAGUAGGUAUCUCAUUUAGCAAAAAAGGAAAAGAAACAAAACAAAACAAAAAAAAGCAAACUUGGGAGCCGGGAGCUCCAACCCGGGGGCGGUUCCAGGAUGUCAGCAACACAUCCCACUGGGCCUGACACGAGCAAGGGGACAGAAGCUCUAGGUAAAAAGGGGCAAAGGCUGGGCGCGGUGGCUCACCCCUGUAAUCCCAGCACUUUGGGAGGCCGAGGUGGGUGGGUCACUUGAGGUCAGGAGUUCGAGACUAGCCUGGCCAAUGUGGUAAAACCAUGUCUCUACUAAAAAUACAAAAAUUAGCUGGGUGUGGUGGCACAUGUCUGUGUUCCCAGCUACUUGGGAGGUUGAGGCAGGAGAAUCACUUGAAUGCAGUAGGCGGAGACUACAGUCGGCUGAGAUCACACCUGGGUGACAGAGACUCAGUCUCAAAAAAAGGGGGUGGGGUGGGGGAUGGACAGACGGCCUGACGCAACUGAGUAGUUGGUGGGAAAAAACGAACGGUAGGUGUGUGGCAGAUUCUGGAAUCAUUUGGAAAAAAUCCAUGAAGAUAGAAAAUAAGUAAAAAUACAAGGCAAUCAUGAAUUCCAGGAAAAACAAAAAGCUACAUAGAAAAGAAAAUGAAGUAUACUACUUGCCUCAGAGGUAAAUGAUGGUUUUGAAGGCAUCAUCAUGUAAAUGGUGAUUACUGUAACAGUGAAUACUGAUUUAAUAAAACGUGAGCUUUAACUGUAUGUGGAUGAUGGGUGGGGUGAGGACAGACUGUGUGAGGGUAUAAGAACGCUUCACCAUCUAUCGAAACAAAGUAAACAGAAUAUCUAAGUCGGCCGGGGGCGGUGGCUCAAGCCUGUAAUCCCAGCACUUUGGGAGGCCAAGAUGGGCGGAUCACGAGGUCAGGAGAUCAAGACCAUCCUGGCUAACACGGUGAAACCCCAUCUCUACUAAAAAGUACAAAAAACUAGCUAGGUGUGGUGGCGGCACCUGUAGUCCCAGCUACUCGGGAGGCUGAGGCAGGAGAAUGGCGUGAACCCGGGAGGCGGAGCUUGCAGUGAGCCGAGAUCGCGCCACUGCACUCCAGCCUGGGCAACAGAGCCAGACUCUGUCUCAAAAAAAAAAAAAAAAAAAAAAAAAA